ACUGGAGAAGUGUCGGCAUUAUCAUUUAUAUUGGAAAAACAGUCAAUCAAUGCUACAGAUUUUAUUCACUGCACUCUUUUCAUCCACUGCAGAUUUGGUUGUAAAGGGAAGAACCAGGUGAAACUGAGGACAAAUGUCACGUUCUCCACGGGAAAACUUGACCUCACACCAUUUCUGUCCAGUUCAGGAAAGACCACCUCGUCGUCUUCAUACUAUUUAUACGCUGUAGUGAACCACACGGGUCAUCUAAACAUGGGCCACUACACAGCUCUGUGCCGUAAUGCACUAACCCGGAUCUGGAACUGUUUUGAUGACGCAGUUGUCCAAGAAGUCCAGGACCGAGUUGUACAGUCACCACAUGCCUACAUACUUCUUUACAGCUGCAAGCCCUUCAGAAGGCCAAAGAUCCAUGGAUUCUGAAGAAUCCACCACCCAGCACCCAAUUUCCAUAAAAUAUCUUAAAUCCAGCCUUGCGCUACAAAAUGACGAGACAAGAAUGCACGCCAAGAAUGCAAUUGCACACUCACCCAUGGCCAAAGUAAACUGGUUUUCUGUAGAGGAUUUGUGAGGUGCACAUGCAUAGUUGUGUUGUUGAAACCCCACAGUGCUAGAUGAUUGCACCUUUCUCUCUGAGCAAACAAAAUCUACGCUCUGCUCAGCAUCUCUGUGUUUAUAGUCAUCCAGAUACACAUCCAGUAAUAACUUCUCUCACGCAUGGUCUUGUGUCAGUUCUCUGUGCAGCUGUCAACUUGGCAUCAUGCAGAUGUUUAUCAUGCCUGCAGAAAAUAAUCAAAUGUGGGAAAUAAUUUUAUCAGAUUUAUUUUACAGAUGAGCAUUUUUAGUUGCGUCAAGAAGGGCAUCCGGCGUAAAACCUGUGCCAAAUCAACAUGCAGAUCCACCUUGGAUUUGCUGUGGCGACCCCGAGUGCAAACAAGGGAGCAGCCGAAGGGACUUAGUAAUAAAUUGUGUCCUCAUUCCAUAUUUACCUGGGAUUUAACUGCAAUGGCCGCAGAUGGGACAACCUGUGAAGGGCUGUGUACCCCCCCCCCCCGCAUACAUUAUAAUGGUUACACUGUGAUCUGCAGUUCUAUUUGCAAUACACUGCUGCAUUGCGUCGAUAUGGCACUAUCACAUUGUAUCAUUGAGUGUGUGGCUGGCUAUUAGUAGCUACGACUGCUCUACUGUGUAUUUAUGUUUCUUAAUAAAUGAGAUACAUCAACAAUUGUAAGGAUUACAGUCAAAUGCAGUACAAAUAUGUCGUUGACAAUGACAAAUCAGAAGUUGGAGCGAUAUGGAAAACACAAAACGUGAUCCUUAUAUUGACUUCUAUUUCACUGCAGACAAUGUGUUUUGUGUGGUCAACUUUAUUUCAUAUGUUAAUAUAAAUCCAGUACAGCAUUUAAAGCCUGCAGCACAUUCCAA